AGUGCAAUUGCUGGGUCAUAUGGUAAGAGCAUGUUUAGUUUUGUAAGAAACCACCAAACUGUUUCUUCAAAAUGGUUGUACCAUUUUGCAUUUCCAUCAGCAAU
rnacentral:pre_miRNA from 1 species